CCCCCCCCCAACUGACCCCCAACUGCCCCCCCACCUCCCCUGUACUGCCCAUCUGCCCCCACUGCCUGCUGUGCCUCAGUUUCCCCUUCACCCCAAAUGUAACCCUGGCCCCACAGCUCUGCCACCCCCAAUUCCCAGCCCCGGGGUCCCUCCUCACCCCAUUCCCCAGCCCCAUGGCUCCGGGGUCCCCCAUUCCCCACAGAUUUGGGGUCCCUCCUCACCCCAUUUCUCAGCACUUUGGGGUUCCCCUCUCACCCCACAGUUUCGGGAUCCCCUCCUCAUCCCAUUCCCCAGUACUUUGGGGUCCCUCCUCACCCCAUUCUUCAGCACUUUGGGGUCUCUCCUCACCCCACAGUUUUGGGAUCUCCUCCUCACCCCAUUCCCCAGUACUUUGGGGUCCCUCCCCACCCAUUCCCCACAGAUUUGGGGUCUUUCCUCACCCCAUUCCCCACAGCUUUGGGGUCUCUCCUCACCCCACAGUUUUGGGAUCCACCUCCUCACCCCAUUCCCCAGUACUUUGGGGUCCCUCCUCACCCCACAGUUUUGGGAUCCCCUCCUCACCCCAUCCCCCAGCACUUUGGGAUCCCCUCCUCACCCCAUUCCCCACAGCUUUGGGGUCCCUCCUCACCCGACAGUUUUGGGGUCCCUCCUCACCCCAUUCCUCAGCAUUUUGGGGUCCCUCCUCACCCCACAGUUUUGGGAUCCCCUCCUUAUCCCAUUCCCCAGUACUUUGGGGUCCCUCCUCACCCCAUUUCUCAGCACUUUGGGGUUUACCCCUCACCCCACAGCUUUGGGAUCCCCUCCUCAUCCCAUCCCCCAGCACUUUGGGAUCCCCUCCUCACCCCAUUCCCUACAGCUUUGGGGUCACUCCUCACCUCACAGUUUUGGGAUCCCCUCCUCAUCCCAUUCCCCAGUACUUUGGGGUCCCUCCUCACCCCACAGCUUUGGGAUCCCCUCCUCAUCCCAUUCCCCAGUACUUUGGGGUCCCUCCUCACCCUAUUUCUCAGCACUUUGGGGUCUCUCCUCACCCCACAGUUUUGGGAUCCCCUCCUCACCCCAUUCCCCAGUACUUUGGGGUCCCUCCCCACCCAUUCCCCACAGAUUUGGGGUCUUUCCUCACCCCAUACCCCACAGCUGUGGGGUCCCCCAUUCCCAGCCCUACAGCUCCACAGUUCCUCCUCAUCCCACAGCUUUGGGAUCCCCCUCUCACCCCAUUCUUCAGCACUUUGGGAUCCCCUCCUCACACCAUUCCCCAGUACUUUGGGGUCCCUCCUCACCCCAUUCCCUACAGGUUUGGGGUCUCUCCUCACCCCACAGUUUUGGGAUCCCCUCCUCACCCCAUUCCCCAGUACUUUGGGGUCCCUCCUCACCCCAUUCCCCAGUACUUUGGGGUCUCUCCUCACCCCACAGUUUCGGGAUACCCUCCUCACCCCAUUCCUCAGCACUUUGGGGUCCCUCCUCACCCCAUUCCCCACCCCCUGCAUUUUGGGGUCUCUCCUCCCCCCCCACAGCCCCUCAGCUGCACUGGGAGCAGCGAGCAGCCCCCCAUUCCUGCAGGGUGGCCCUAUAGGGUCAGGGUCUCUGCUCCCCAUAGGGUGUAUGGGGGGGGGGGGGUCACCUCUUAG
ensembl:lncRNA